CCCCGCGCCCCCAGCUCGCGGCCCCAGAUGGAUCAUUCCCCCCAAAUAAAUAAAUCAAUCCAGCCGCGGCGGGCACUCGGUGAAGUGAGCGAGGCGCACACCUGAAGGCUGGUCUGUGAUUCACUGCAGAAUGGAUCACCAGGAAAACACUCCUAGGAAAAGUACUAUCAUUCCUCAUGUCUUAACAUUGCUCUAAGAAGUAUCACCACCAAAACUAAGAGGAACUCUCUUUGGAUCCCAUCCACCACCUCCAUCCCCAAAGGCUGAGCAGAAAACUGCAUAAUCCCCAAGGGCUGGCUGAAGGAUAAGGUCCGAGAGAGCAAAGGACAGGCUGAAGACUGGCUAGAAUGGGAAGAGAACAUAACAUUUUCCUCAGAGGGAAGCAGAGGGACAUCUGACUACAGAAGAAGGCAUUGUGACACAAGCAAGAUGCGACCCUGCUGACUUUGAAGAUGGAGGAAGGAAUGAAAGGAAUGCACAGAAUGCAGCUCUAGAAAGAAGCUGGAAAAGUCAAGAAGACAAUUUCUACCUUACUGUUUCUGGAGGGAGCUCAGCCCUGCAGACACCUUGAUUUUAGCCCAGUGAAACUGAUUUCAGACUUCUGGCCCCUAGAACUCUAGGAGAAUAAAUAUAUGUUGUUUUAAACCAUUUAGCUUGUCAUAAUUUGUUACAGUAGCCAUAGGAAACUAAGACCAUAUUUGUAAAGUAUACAUAAUGGGAAAUGCUCCAAAAAUGUGUUUAAAAAAAAAACCAAAA